UACGUAGGGGGCUAGGCGUUGUCCGGAAUCAUUGGGCGUAAAGUAGCGGUGUAAGGGCUGCUCGGUAAGUCCGCUGUAAAAGUCAAAAGGCUCAACCUUUGAAGUGUCCAGUGGAUAUACUGCCGGGCUAGAGGGUGGUAGAGGCGAGUGGAAUUCCCGGUGUAGCGGUGAAAUGACGCAGAUAUCGGAGGAACACCAGUAG
rnacentral:rRNA from 1 species